rnacentral:rRNA from 1 species
GGAUUGAGAGCUUGCUCUCAAGAAGUUAGCGGCGGACGGGUGAGUAACACGUGGGUAACCUGCCCAUAAGACUGGGAUAACUCCGGGAAACCGGGGCUAAUACCGGAUAAUAUUUUGAACUGCAUGGUUCGAAAUUGAAAGGCGGCUUCGGCUGUCACUUAUGGAUGGACCCGCGUCGCAUUAGCUAGUUGGUGAGGUAACGGCUCACCAAGGCAACGAUGCGUAGCCGACCUGAGAGGGUGAUCGGCCACACUGGGACUGAGAACGGCCCCAGACUCCUACGGGAGGCAGCAGUAGGGAAUCUUCCGCAAUGGACGAAAGUCUGACGGAGCAACGCCGCGUGAGUGAUGAAGGCUUUCGGGUCGUAAAACUCUGUUGUUAGGGAAGAACAAGUGCUAGUUGAAUAAGCUGGCACCUUGACGGUACCUAACCAGAAAGCCACGGCUAACUACGUGCCAGCAGCCGCGGUAAUACGUAGGUGGCAAGCGUUAUCCGGAAUUAUUGGGCGUAAAGCGCGCGCAGGUGGUUUCUUAAGUCUGAUGUGAAAGCCCACGGCUCAACCGUGGAGGGUCAUUGGAAACUGGGAGACUUGAGUGCAGAAGAGGAAAGUGGAAUUCCAUGUGUAGCGGUGAAAUGCGUAGAGAUAUGGAGGAACACCAGUGGCGAAGGCGACUUUCUGGUCUGUAACUGACACUGAGGCGCGAAAGCGUGGGGAGCAAACAGGAUAGAUACCCUGGUAGUCCCGCCGUAAAC